rnacentral:lncRNA from 1 species
GAGCAGAAAAGAGCAGGAGCGGGCCGGCCGGGUCCGUUUGCCGUGGCGCGCGGGGGAGCUGAGGAAGGACUCCGCGCGGAACCCAGGAGUGUGGCGUCGCGGAGGUGCGGGAGCGACUGUCGCAGGCCGAGUCUGUGCUCCUCGGAUCUGCACCAGGAGAGCGGGGUCUGGACCCGGAGAGCAGCGGGCCGCGCUUUUCUCUCGCACCCUGCGGCCAACACUAUCACUUAAAACUGGGCCUGGUGGAAUGGAGGGGGUCGCAAUGUCCAAGAAGACUAAUCACCUUCCCCCACUCUGCCUGGACUGCGGCGGUCACCAGUCGCCCGCGGAGAGCUGGCCUAUUUGUCACUCUGCCCUGGGAUUCUCUACUGUGCCGCGAUGGGGGAGGGGACACCCGGACUGCUGAGCCCUUCGGCUGGGUGUUCUUGGCAUCCAUCAAGAUUUUCACAUAAACGGAAGGCUUCAUUUGCCCUACUCUGCCCCGGCCCUGCUGGGCAGUCCAGCCAGGCAGGGAUUUCUUGAAGUUAGAGAUCCGAACUUAACUAGUUGGUGUUUCUUGAUAUGUCUCCAAUUUUGUCUGAUGGGCCCUAUCUUACGUGCAAAUAGAGUUGGAAUCGGAAAAUCAUAGACAUGAUCCCUUCUUUUUUGGCAUACUAAACAAGAAAUAAAUUUAAAAUUAAACACUGAA